GCGUGUGAGGAGCCAAACAGGAUUGCACCCUGGGAAGAUGCUCUCCGUCAGACUCCAUUACUCAACAGGGUCUGCAGGACUGGAGGACUGGUGACACACGGGACCACAGGACCUCCACAGGACUAACCACGGUGGUUGACCAUAGAAAUGUUUUUGGCUACCUGGGGGAUUUGUUGUUCAGCUGCGUCGUGGGAACCCCCCUACCAUAUCAGGAGUUGUUACAGAAGGCUGAGGCAGUGGCCAGACACCAGUCGCACUUCAGAGUAAUGGAUGACACUUGAAUCAGAAGGUGCCCCUUUCCACUGUGCCGAUGGACUACUCCUGGGCCCGAGUGAGUAAUGCCAACCAGUCAGUGCCAUACUGGCACGUGUCCCUUGUGAACUAAUUGAGCUGGGUCGGAUAUAGGAGCUGAAGUCAGGCUCCUUCAUGACCAGUAUAUGUGACAAGAGGGGCCUGGAGCUAAUCUACACUUCCAUGCCCAUCAGGCGUUGGCAAACACCUCAGAAGGGACAAAGGAUGGAGGACAGAAGAGACACUUUUGAAAUGGAGUCCUCUGACUGAAAGACUGGUUGAUACUGAUAUCUGAAUUGGGAAAGACCUUGCA